AUUGAACGCUGGCGGCAGGCCUAACACAUGCAAGUCGAAUGGUAACAGGAAACAGCUUGCUGUUACGCUGACGAGUGGCGGACGGGUGAGUAAUGUCUGGGAAACUGCCUGAUGGAGGGGGAUAACUACUGGAAACGGUAGCUAAUACCGCAUAACGUCGCAAGACCAAAGAGGGGGACCUUCGGGCCUCUUGCCCUCAGAUGUGCCCAGAUGGGAUUAGCUAGUAGGUGGGGUAACGGCCCACCUAGGCGACGAUCCCUAGCUGGUCUGAGAGGAUGACCAGCCACACUGGAACUGAGACACGGUCCAGACUCCUACGGGAGGCAGCAGUGGGGAAUAUUGCACAAUGGGCGCAAGCCUGAUGCAGCCAUGCCGCGUGUAUGAAGAAGGCCUUCGGGUUGUAAAGUACUUUCAGCGGGGAGGAAGGGAGUAAAGUUAAUACCUUUGCUCAUUGACGUUACCCGCAGAAGAAGCACCGGCUAACUCCGUG
rnacentral:rRNA from 1 species